AUCAACUGUGCCAGACGUGUCUGCCCCACUCCAAGCCCACUGUGGAGCCAGGGGUUCAGGCCUGGAGCCGGACCAUCUGUCAUUAGGCACUGCUGUUAAUUGCUGUGCUAAUGAACAAGAUUUGCAUCAGAGGCACGAAUGCACAUGCAGAUUUAGCUGCGACUCUGCACUACUAUUUCCUGUCCCCUUCCAACCUGGCAUGGUCUCCAGGAGGCAAAGCUGUGAAGGAGAAGCCCAUCAAAGGGCAGGGGAUGGUGUAUAGCUGAGGACAUUGAUGGACACAGCCCUGACGAGUGCCCGUGUCCCCUAGCACUGCCCUGCUGGCCCAAGCACUUGGUCCAAGCACCCAGAUUGUACCAUGGGGGAAACUGGAAACUUCAUGAGGAACCAAGGAUAUAAAUGUUAUGAAAUUAUUUUCAGGGCUUUCAGCCUCUGGCUUGUCCAGCCUCUACUUCACAUGAUGCCAAGAACAUACGCAUCUGGCAAAACGUUCACGUGAAACUGUAAAGUGAAAAAUGAGUCAUAGAAACUGGAAAGUUAAGUUCUUAAAUGUCCUCUGUGUUCUGAAAUGGCAGGGAUUUGAAAUUUCUUUUUUUUUAUGUUUGUAUUUUCUAAAAUAUUUUAAAGAUGGAAUCAUGUUCAUUAUUAGGAAAAAAAUGCAGUUAAAAAUAAAAUGAUGGAAAAGAUAAAGAGAGACAGACCCAAUGCCUGUUGAGGAAGAGCAAGGAGAGGCAACAGUUCCUUCUCAGGCAUGGAAUGCAUCAGCCUGCAACUCCCAUCUUACAGAUGAGGAAACAGAGGCCUGGAGAUGCAUGAUGAGUUGCUCAGAAUAAUGCCUGCUUCCAUUUACUCCAUGGUGCUAAGUGCUUCAUAAAUUCUAUCAGUUGUUCUCUGUACUAGUCAUCUGAGGUUAGGAGCAUCACUACCACCACCCCACAGAGGAAGAGACCAAAGCUCACAGUAACAGCACCUGGCCAGAAUCACAUGGCUAGUCAUGCUCAGAGCAGGUAUCCAAACCCCAAAAUCUAUGCUCCUAAAGACUGUUUUUUUUCUUAACUUUACAAAGUGUAAGGUUAGUUGGGAAGGAGAAUCUGAGUUUCCAAGCUCCCAGGCAUCUAACACCAUUUUAAAGUAGAGCGUGGAUGAGGAGAAUUCAGCUCCGAGGCCCUAGACCUCUUCCUCUCAGUCCCUCCUCUGCCCAGCUCGUAACCUGGGCUGCGGCCACGUCCUGUGCUCUGACUUAUGAAUCCUAAGCUUCUUCCUCAUAGGAGAGACAGCUGCUGUGGGCAGGAACUUUCCAGGCAACAUGGAGCAGGAGGACUGGCCUGGGAGGUGGCCUACUACCCAGCAUCCCGUCCUCUGAGAUUCCCUCUGAGGUAGUAAAUACAGAAUUGUUUGGGGGAGCACAUCCUGGGGUUAAGUGUCAAACCCAGCUUCUAGUAUCGAUGAUGAGAAAGCUGGUGAGUGACUGUCCCAGAGCUGCAGGGCAAGUGGACUCUGCUCACUCUGGCAGUUUCCAGGCUGUGUGGAAUGGGGCUGCAGCUGAGGGGUUCUGGUGGCCCAAAGGGAGAACUAGGCUCGGGAGUUGAAAAAUACUUCACCUCAGAUGUCUAUAGAAACGAAGCCAGGGAAAAGCAAAGAGCUGCUGAGGGUCUGCUGAGAAGAUGUCAGCGAGCCCAAGGUGAAUGGAACUGUUCUGUCACUGAGGACUCCAGUGCCACUCUGCACUGGACAAUGGGGAAAUUGAGAGCUCCCUGCUACAGACACUCAGAGGACAAGCUCAAGACACACUGGAGCAGGUCAGGCAAAGCAUCUGGAGGAGGCGGAAGAGCCCCUGGCCUGUGCCAGCAGCUUGGUGCCAAUCUCAGUGUGUUUUAAAGAAAACAUGCCAGCCAGGCUGAAAUGGUGGGGCAGGGUCGGGUAGGUGUGCCCAGUACCACAGAUGGAGUGGCUCCAAGCAACAGAUAUGAUCAUCUUGCCAUAUAUUCUGGAGUCUAGAAGUUCAAUACCAACUCAAGGGCAGGGUCAUGCUCCCUCUGAGACAGGGGAAACCCUUCCCUCGCCUCUUCCUAGCUUCAGUGACAGCCAGCAGUCCUCGGUCCUCCUUGACCUGCAGCUGCAUGGCCCCUUCUCUGCUUGUCACGUGUGCUGUCCUCCCUGUGUCUCUCUUCCUCAU